GGCUCAGGAUGAACGCUGGCGGCGUGCCUAAUACAUGCAAGUCGUGCGGAAAGGCCACUUCGGUGGUACUCGAGCGGCGGACGGCAGAGUAACGCGUAGGAACAUACCCCAAACUGAGGGAUAACUGCUCGAAAGAGUAGCUAAUACCGCAUGUGAUCUUCGGAUUAAAGCGUUCGGCGGUUUGGGAAUGGCCUGCGUCCGAUUAGCUUGUUGGUGAGGUAAUAGCUCACCAAGGCGACGAUCGGUAGCUGGUCUGAGAGGAUGAUCAGCCUGACUGGAACUGAGAACGGUCCAGACUCCUACGGGAGGCAGCAGUAGGGAAAUUUUCCACAAUGGGCGAAAGCCUGAUGGAGCAACGCCGCGUGCAGGAUGAAUGCCUUCGGGUUGUAAACUGCUUUUAUUAGUGAAGAAUAUGACGGUAACUAAUGAAUAAGGGUCGGCUAACUACGUG
rnacentral:rRNA from 1 species